CGAUUCAUUAUUUAGCCCCAGUUCGCCUUCAGGGAAACCCAAGCUGGGGGGGAGGCCGGAGCCCCGCGGGACUGUGCGGGGCUGCCCCCAGCCGGGGCGCUGCGGGACUCGGUGGGUGCGGGCAGCCCUGUCCCCAGGGAGGGGGAGACCCAGCCUCUGGGAUGGGGUUUGGAUGGUGGGCAUGGACACGGAGAGAGGGGCCAGAAGGAGCACCACUCAGAACAUUUCCAGUCGGACUCCUUCCUGCCAUCCCCCACAAAGCCCGUUGGUGUGACCAUUACAGUACUCACUAAAUUCAAUUUAGAUCCUUCACCUUAUUAGAAGAAUCUUUAUUAAACAUUUUAUUAAAGUAUUUUAAUGCCUUCCCAGGAAUGCCAUAAAUCCCCGCAGGUUUCAAAGCAUCUUUGAGGAGUUGCAGAUAGCGCGGGGGGCCUGGCUGAGCAUUUCCAGUGCUUGCAUGAUGAGAGCACACGUGGGCAACACUCCUUAAACCACACCAACAUCGUUUUUGUGUUGGGUUUCCUGCCUUUGCCCAGGUGAGAAAGGAAUCCUGCAGGAUUCACCCUCCUGGGGGCUGUGCCAUGUCCCCCUCAUCCAUCCCUGGCUUUUACUUCUCUGGAAUAAUGGCUAAAUAUCCUUCCUCCUGGAAACCCAAGAGGAGUCACCCAUUGAGACCCACCUCCAGGGAGCCUCAGCCCAGAGCAAUGGUCAUUCCUGCAUUGGAGCUGCAGUGAGGGCAGCUCCUGAGUAUCCUAAGCAGCAGUGAGAAGGUUUCUGCAGGGCCCCUUGGUGUCAACACGUGGCUCCCCAGGCGAUGAUGACCAGAGCAGGCACACAGCCGGGACUUUGUCACAGGAUCCUGACAUUUUGGCUUCUACCAUUAACUAAUGGCCCACUCCUGCAUCCCCUGUGUGCUCAAAAAAGGGAAAUUUUCUCAGAAAGCUGGGCCAGAUCCUGACGGGCUUUGCUCAUGAGCUUGCUUCCAUUGCAGUCAUUCUUCGCACGAGUCCAGCAGGAUUUUGUGGGCUGUCGUUCUGGGAAGGACAUAUGUCCAGCAUAGCUGUAGCUAACAUGUCCUGCAUGUUUUACGUGUUUCUUCUGCGUGUGAAAUGUAAUCUACUAUAUGUUUUGGAGCCAUGUAUUUAGAUAUGAUCUCAUAUAAGUUUGGCAGAUAAAUAUGCUCAUAUCAUAUAGCACGGGCGUAUUUUUCACUCAGGACUGCUGGUAUUCAAGGACUUCUCCUGUGCCUGGUGGAGCCAGCAGGACCCUUGGCAUUGGCAGAGCUGGAACACAACUAGGUCCAAAUCUUCCCUUCGCAUUGCAGCCACUCCUUUGGAAGAAAAACGUGAGACUAGACAAGCCUCUGAAGGAGGAGCAAAGUUUUGUUUUCCACCCGGGACACCUCAGCAACCAGUCUGUGUUUCCUUUGAAAACGGAGAGGUUUAGAAAAACUCCCGAGGAGAAAUGAAAUAAAUAAAUGUGAGGUAUAGAAGUCAAACGUUUGCUCCUGGCUUCUUCUGGUACAGCUUACAGACACAACUUUAAAAACAGGGGCAGCUCUUCUGUAAUUAGCUGCUCCCCAAUCUACUGCAUGAAUUGAUGCCCCAGCCCCACGCCUCUCUGCUAAACGCAAGUCAGAUUUCUUCAUUCAAGAACUGAUGGUCAGGCUCUGUUAGGAUCUGCCGAGUCCAGUGCUUCCAAGAAUGAAGACCUCAUCUCCCAGCCUGACUGCCUAGAAAGAGACUGAAUAACCUCAGAGGGCCCUGACAUCUGAGUUAUCUACAGCUUUGUGAGGACACCCUUUGCUUCUGGAGCUCCUGAAGUCUCCGUCCCGCUGCAGCCGGGGACAAAGCCACCACCAGUGUCAGCAAAGGGCUUGUUGCCUCCACGCCAGCGUGGGGGCCACAUGUGAAAUGUCAUGUGUGCUGUGUCACUCCGGACUCACAUAGUGUUUUGUGUAGAAAAAUAAAGAACUGCCAUGUCAGCGUUAUGUAACUCUUAAA